UACGUAGGGGGCAAGCGUUGUCCGGAAUUAUUGGGCGUAAAGAGCUCGUAGGCGGUGUGUCGCGUCGGCCGUGAAAACCUGGGGCUCAACUCUGGGCGUGCGGUCGAUACGGGCAUCACUUGAGUUCGGCAGGGGAGACUGGAACUCCUGGUGUAGCGGUGAAAUGCGCAGAUAUCAGGAGGAACACCGGUGGCGAAGGCGGGUCUCUGGGCCGAUACUGACGCUGAGGAGCGAAAGCAUGGGUAGCGAACAGG
rnacentral:rRNA from 1 species